rnacentral:rRNA from 1 species
AAGGAAUAGUAGGCAAUGGGCGAAAGCCUGACCUCGCGACGCCGCGUGAAGGAUGAAGGCCUUCGGGUCGUAAACUUCUUUUGUCAGGGAUGAAUAAUGACAGUACCUGAUGAAUAAGUCACGGCUAACUACGUGCCAGCAGCCGCGGUAAAACGUAGGUGGCUAACGUUAUCCGGAUUUACUGGGCGUAAAGCGUGCGCAGGCGGCCUUUCAAGUCAGAUGUAAAAUCUCCCGGCUUAACUGGGAGGGACCAUUUGAUACUGUGAGGCUGGAGUACAACAGAGGAAAGCGGAAUUCCCGGUGUAGUGGUGGAAUGCGUAGAUAUCGGGAGGAACACCAGUGGCGAAAGCGGCUUUCUGGGUUGUUACUGACGCUGAUGCACGAAAGCGUGGGGAGCGAAC